rnacentral:lncRNA from 1 species
UUUUUUUUUUUUGUUUGUUCUGAUUUGCAUAAAUUAGAAAAUGAUUUCAUAAUUCUCUCAAUUCAGUAGGCUGUUUUGAAUAAGAAUAUAGUAAAUGAAUAAUUCAUUCUUUAAAAUAUAAGGUUAUUCUGCUGGAAAAAGUCAUUUAAGAAAAGCUUAUGAUUGCAUGUGAGGCAAAUUCAUUCAUUUAAAGAAAGCCACUGUGCAAGCCACACGUAUCAGCUAAAUGAAAUUAGGUUUUGCAGCUUAGGCCUCAGAUCAUGGCUUUUAAGACAAUCGAAACAGUAUUAGUGGCCUUUUGCCAAAAAAAAAAAGAGUGUAUUUUCCUGUGAAAGACCAUUACAAAAAGAUCAUAAAUAGAAAUAGAACUAUAAACACAAUACUGUCGUAUAAGCAUACUUAUUGUUAAAAUUUUGUAUUGACUAAUUAAAGAAUUUCAGGAAUUUGGGGACAAUUUAUGUGUAAACGUGAUGCAUGAUCCAAACAUUUUUAUGCUUUCUGGGUCAGAUGAUCAUUAAACCAGUUUUUUAUGAAUAGAUUUGAAAAGUUACUCUGAAAAGUUACUCCCUUUCUUCUCGUUUAGUAGGAAGGAGUGUAAAAAUCAGCAGAGCUGAUAGUGUCUUAGAGUUGGUUAGAGUUGUGCAUUUCAGCAUACUUCGUUUUUUGCAACACCAGAUCAGUUUUGAGUGCAGAAAAAUGAAUACCUUUUCCACAACUCUAACUCAUCAGCGUAUUCUUUUUUUAGGUUAGGAUUUAAAAAAAAAAAUCCCUGAAGGAUUUGGUCACACAUCUUAUCUGAUUUAAUAUUACUGAGAAGGUGUAACCCUUCUCGCCACCUUUAAGAAUACGUAGUAUGUUUUUGUAAUGAAACAUUUGCCUUACGUAAAAGCUGAAUGGAACAAAAGGGCUAACUGUCUGUUAUGGAUCUGACAGGAAUGCUGCUCUUCUUGGAUUUGUGCGGGUUACUAUAUAAUGUUAAUAUAAAAUGAGUGACAAUGUUUGCAUUAUUUGCAUAGAACAUGAGAAUGUUGAGCUAAUUAUUCAACGUAUGAUAUUUUAGUAAAAUAUUUUACUAUA